rnacentral:rRNA from 1 species
GACGAACGCUGGCGGCGUGCCUAAUACAUGCAAGUUGAGCGCUGAAGGUUGGUACUUGUACCAACUGGAUGAGCAGCGAACGGGUGAGUAACGCGUGGGGAAUCUGCCUUUGAGCGGGGGACAACAUUUGGAAACGAAUGCUAAUACCGCAUAAAAACUUUAAACACAAGUUUUAAGUUUGAAAGAUGCAAUUGCAUCACUCAAAGAUGAUCCCGCGUUGUAUUAGCUAGUUUGUGAGGUAAAGGCUCACCAAGGCGAUGAUACAUAGCCGACCUGAGAGGGUGAUCGGCCACAUUGGGACUGAGACACGGCCCAAACUCCUACGGGAGGCAGCAGUAGGGAAUCUUCGGCAAUGGACGAAAGUCUGACCGAGCAACGCCGCGCGAGUGAAGAAGGUUUUCGGAUCGUAAAACUCUGUUGGUAGAGAAGAACGUUGGUGAGAGUGGAAAGCUCAUCAAGUGACGGUAACUACCCAGAAAGGGACGGCUAACUACGUG